CAGCCGCCGCGGGAAUACGUAGGGUGCAAGCGUUAAUCGGAAUUACUGGGCGUAAAGCGUGCGCAGGCGGUUUGUUAAGACAGAUGUGAAAUCCCCGGGCUCAACCUGGGAACUGCAUUUGUGACUGGCAGGCUAGAGUAUGGCAGAGGGGGGUGGAAUUCCGCGUGUAGCAGUGAAAUGCGUAGAUAUGCGGAGGAACACCGAUGGCGAAGGCAGCCCCCUGGGCCAAUACUGACGCUCAUGCACGAAAGCGUGGGGAGCAAACAGGAUUAGAUACCCGUGUAGUCCCUGUCUCUUAUAC
rnacentral:rRNA from 1 species